AUCAUCAUCAUCAUCACAAUCACGUACACAAUGCUGUUGUCACUAAUGUUACUAUUGUUUCCGAAGGAACCCUCGAUAUUGAUGAGGUGACUGGACAAUAACACUUUGAGUGAAGCAAUUCCUGCAUCUUUGGCUAACAUGACACAGCUUGCCUUCCUGGACCUGUCAUACAACAAUCUAAGUGGUCCAGUACCAAGGUUGCUUGCCAAGACCUUUAAG